CUUUAAGAAAUCAAAUGAUGAAAUCCUAUGAGCGAUGUGUUUUGUUUGGGCAAACACAUACGGAAGGAGGACGUGAGUUGUGAAGCUCUUCCACAAGGUCUUCAAAGAGAUAAAUUGGUCUAAUAGCAACCAGGUCGAUGGCUCAACACAGCGUUGCCUUCCACCAUAAGUUCAUCAACGUAUAAAGAUCCAUCCAGAUAGAGCAAGAUUCGGAUUUUCCACUCCAUUCAAAUUUGAGAUGGUAAUGGUUGUCAUCUUUUCAUUU